rnacentral:rRNA from 1 species
AACGAACGCUGGCGGCAUGCCUUACACAUGCAAGUCGAACGGCAGCACGGGGCAACCUGGUGGCGAGUGGCGAACGGGUGAGUAAUGCAUCGGAACGUGCCAUUGAGUGGGGGAUAACGUAGCGAAAGUUGCGCUAAUACCGCAUAUUCUGUGAGCAGGAAAGCAGGGGACCGCAAGGCCUUGCGCUCUUUGAGCGGCCGAUGUCAGAUUAGCUAGUUGGUGAGGUAACGGCUUACCAAGGCGACGAUCUGUAGCGGGUCUGAGAGGAUGAUCCGCCACACUGGAACUGAGACACGGUCCAGACUCCUACGGGAGGCAGCAGUGGGGAAUUUUGGACAAUGGGCGCAAGCCUGAUCCAGCCAUGCCGCGUGAGUGAAGAAGGCCUUCGGGUUGUAAAGCUCUUUCGGCCGGGAAGAAAUCGCAUGGGUUAAUACCCUGUGUGGAUGACGGUACCGGAAUAAGAAGCACCGGCUAACUACGUG